GAUGAACGCUGGCGGCGUGCCUAAUACAUGCAAGUCGAGCGAACAGAUGAGAAGCUUGCUUCUCUGAUGUUAGCGGCGGACGGGUGAGUAACACGUGGGUAACCUACCUAUAAGACUGGGAUAACUCCGGGAAACCGGGGCUAAUACCGGAUAAUAUAUUUAACCGCAUGGUUCAAUGUUGAAAGACGGUUUCGGCUGUCACUUAUAGAUGGACCCGCGCCGUAUUAGCUAGUUGGUAAGGUAACGGCUACCAAGGCAACAAUACGUAGCCGACCUGAGAGGGUGAUCGGCCACACUGGAACUGAGACACGGUCCAGACUCCUACGGGAGGCAGCAGUAGGGAAUCUUCCGCAAUGGGCGAAAGCCUGACGGAGCAACGCCGCGUGAGUGAUGAAGGUCUUAGGAUCGUAAAACUCUGUUGUUAGGGAAGAACAAAUUUGUUAGUAACUGAACAAGUCUUGACGGUACCUAACCAGAAAGCCACGGCUAACUACGUGCCAGCCGCCGCCGUAA
rnacentral:rRNA from 1 species